AAUAAGCUUGGGGUAUUUAAAACCAAGGGCCGAAUACAAAUCAAGAAUUUGAUACAGGUACAAAAGUCACCCUAGCACGAGAAUUUUAUGGGGGCCGGAAAGUCCCCAAAAAGAGAAAGUCAAAAGUUUCCCAAGAGCGGACGAUCGAAGCCAUAAUACAAUUGAUUUUAGAAGACUGGAUCCCCAAAAACAACCGAUCAGAGUACCUCACCACAUCGCUAUCGAUGUUCCAUUCCACUGGAGUCAGCGUGUUUUACUUAUGGCGCUGCUUUGAUAUUGUCACCUUGUCCAGGAAUCUUGCAGCAAAACAUAAUGUUCUGCUAUUAAUCCCCAUACACAUACACAAUACACAUUAACUACAUCUUGGUCAAGAUCCCUCUUGGCAUCGAUAUGUAUGGACGUCCAAUUAGCAGAUGUCCAAACAAUAAUUAAAAAACCUCAGUGCUUGAUAUAACGAAAAGUGGUCGUGUGUUGAGGUGAAGGUAAUCAUUCCAUAACAACAACAUAACAGAUUAAAUAUAAUAAAACAUUUAAAGUUCACGGAACUCUUAAAAAACUUCAUAGGUCUUCACGCCAGAAUGCCGCGGAGUUUUGACCGUGAGUGUGAGCGGACAGCUCUUACACGCUUGCUACGUUCUGUUCUCUUCGCCUUCCCGCUCUCCAUCCAUCCAGCCGGCAAGUUCACCACUCCGCGGUCCAAAAAAUACAAUUUUUCAAUUCACAAAAUUUUAAAUAUUAGUUUUAAAGUCCUAAAAUAUUAUUUUAGCCUGAAAACUCUCGAAAGCUCUAAACUUUAAUAAAUAAAAACAACCAAAAAAUAUAAUAAAUAAAUAAAAAAUUACAAUAGCACAACCAAUUAGCCGCACCACAAAUAGUUGCGUUAAGCGACAACAACCUCGCUGAAGCCCGUCGGAAGCUAAAAGACAUCAUGUCGUUCAAGGGUGAUCCAUAAACUCUCCACACCUUCGUCAGCAAAGUGGAGUGGACGGAGUGGAAUCUAAGAGCAUUCUGCGAAGAAACGGAAAAACGACGUCAAUUGUUUAUUUCGAAAUUACAUCUGGAAGGUCAUCACGAUAUUACAGACUUAGAAUCUGUAAUUACUAUGGCACUAAAUGAGGGAAUUUAUGAAGAACAUAUUAAUAUUGAAUU